rnacentral:lncRNA from 1 species
CACUGUCUCCCAUCACUCCCAGAUGGGACCGUCUAGUUGCAGGAAAACAAGCUCAGGGCUCCCACUGAUUCUACAUUAUGCACACCAAAGAGAGUUCUAGAAAAAAUGAGAAUAAGAAAUUUACCUGUAAUCCUUGCUCAAGAAACUGAAGCUCUGAGGCCACAUUGUUCCAGCCUUUUGCAGCUCCUGCAUGUGGAUACCAGCACCAGCAGCUCCCCGACCAGGGGCCCCAGCUAAGCCCUCCCAGAGGAUGAUCUUGGCUUUGUACAUGGGGUGUCAAUAUCCUGUGAGUCCAACAGAGGGAAGACAUAAGAAUAUGGUCACCCAGAGAUACCCAUCUAAAGUCACUGUCGCUUACAGUUGUGGCAAUUCUGAAUGUCGACAGGAGAAUGUCUCCCGGAUUUCAGCCUUUUAGAAGAUAAAAUGGUCCUAUGUGUUCAUGAACAAAACCCACCAGUUUCCCCAGGGCAGUGAGUUACCUGACAUCUGGCAGAUUCCUGGAAGGUUUCCUCUGGCCCCAUACUGGGAUCCAUUCCUGGGACAACUAGAAGUGCCAGGGAGUUAAAGCCCCAAGAGCGACCUUCAAGCCAAUAAGAGAUGGAGUUGGAAUGAAAACCUCAGCUUCCUCAUACCUCAGUGGGACAAUCCUGAGAUGUGUUCCUCAAGUCUCUCCAAGGACCUGAUGGGACUGAGUCCUGGUUGCUCAUGAGAGAAACCAGCAGGACUGGAUGUCAGUGAUUGCACCAUGCAGGAUUACAGAUUGUGCUGAGUUUAGAUUUUCUGCCUUCCUCCUCAGUUGUCAGGCUGCUAGCCAGCUCUUCUGCUCCCAUGACACCUGCAUCGAAUGCCUGCCCUUUCCUUACUACAAGACCCUUUCCAGUUCCCAGAUUAGAAUCUGCCACAGGCUAGGAAUCCCACAUCCCAGUAGUGAUUUGGCUCCAAGUGCAAAGGCACCUAGUGUCUGCCUUUUGUUCAGCAGCUUGGUGAUGGACAUAUCCAGGACUCAGAGACCCCUUUCCCUCAGCUCUCUGAGUUGGAAGCUGUCAGGUGCAGAAGGGCAACAUCUUACAUACACAGGGUUUGGGCAGGUCUGGGCAGUGCCUGGUUAAUGUUAAAUAAUGCAGAUAAAGGAAUUGUUGACAUCUGAAAGUCAAUAUGAAAAUUGUAUGCACUGCUGUGACUCAUGCAACUUCACUCCCAGCCCUGGUUCUCAUGAUUCCAGAAGUGGAAAAAAUAAGGCAACUCUUUUCCUCACAAUUCAAAAAAAUACCUAUUGAGCAACAUCAGCUUGGCCCACACAAGACAAUUUUUAUCCCUUCCGUUAGUUAACUUUGCUUUGGCCAAAGGCCAGAAAAACCUCAUUCUUUACAGGCAACCUCAGACCACCAUCCUGGAUCCACUUCAAAAACUAACUGCAGACCUGUGUCUUACUAGAGGUGAUUUGGUAGCAUUGAAGAUCAAAUCCCGAUUUAAAAAAUUAAAAAAAAAAUGAACAUAAAAUGCAUUUUUAACAAU